UGGGGAAUAUUGCACAAUGGGCGCAAGCCUGAUGCAGCCAUGCCGCGUGUAUGAAGAAGGCCUUCGGGUUGUAAAGUACUUUCAGCGGGGAGGAAGGGAGUAAAGUUAAUACCUUUGCUCAUUGACGUUACCCGCAGAAGAAGCACCGGCUAACUCCGUGCCAGCAGCCGCGGUAAUACGGAGGGUGCAAGCGUUAAUCGGAAUUACUGGGCGUAAAGCGCACGCAGGCGGUUUGUUAAGUCAGAUGUGAAAUCCCCGGGCUCAACCUGGGAACUGCAUCUGAUACUGGCAAGCUUGAGUCUCGUAGAGGGGGGUAGAAUUCCAGGUGUAGAGGUGAAAUGCGUAGAGAUCUGGAGGAAUACCGGUGGCGAAGGCGGCCACCUGGACGAAGACUGACGCUCAGGUGCGAAAGCGUGGGGAGCAAACAG
rnacentral:rRNA from 1 species